rnacentral:rRNA from 1 species
CCUCCAACCCCUGUGACAUACCACUUGUUGCCUCGGCGGAUCAGCCCGCUCCCGGUAAAACGGGACGGCCCGCCAGAGGACCCCUAAACUCUGUUUCUAUAUGUAACUUCUGAGUAAAACCAUAAAUAAAUCAAAACUUUCAACAACGGAUCUCUUGGUUCUGGCAUCGAUGAAGAACGCAGCAAAAUGCGAUAAGUAAUGUGAAUUGCAGAAUUCAGUGAAUCAUCGAAUCUUUGAACGCACAUUGCGCCCGCCAGUAUUCUGGCGGGCAUGCCUGUUCGAGCGUCAUUUCAACCCUCAAGCACAGCUUGGUGUUGGGACUCGCGUUAAUUCGCGUUCCUCAAAUUGAUUGGCGGUCACGUCGAGCUUCCAUAGCGUAGUAGUAAAACCCUCGUUACUGGUAAUCGUCGCGGCCACGCCGUUAAACCCCAACUUCUGAAUGUUGACCUCGGAUCAGGUAGGAAUACCCGCUGAACUUAAGCAUAUCAAUAAGCGGAGGA